CUCAGACUGUGUAUUCAUGCCGUCGUAACCAUAAGUUGAGAAAACUCUUAGGAACCUUAGUUUAUGCUUGAGUGAUUGUGGAAGCCUUCAUAAGUUGUUAUCACAAAGCUCGGAUCAUCUCCAUCUCGUUCAACCCUUUUCUUCACGGGACAGCCAUCAGCUGAACACUUGAAGUAGUUUCUGCAAAUUACAUGAAAAUCAUUACAAUCAGCAAGAGGUUUAUGAAACCCUCAAGGACGCAUGUUUUAAAGGAGUUUAUAUAUGUUGACUGAUAAACUUACCGGCAGAAGCGGUGGGUGUAGCAGCGGCAACAGAAGCGUUGGUACAUGGAGAUUCGGGAUGACCGUAACCGCUAGAGGAACCUGAGAAGAAGGCAGCAGCAUGAGCACUAUCACUGGUCUCAUAACCAUAAGAAUGAUUCAUCCCUGAAACCGCAGAGACAAGAUCAUCGUCCAUCCAUUCAUCUGACAAGUACAGAUCCGGAAGGUCGAAACCUGAGGAAAGGCAAGUUCAAUGGUUAGCAGCAGCACUGCAUGCAGCCAGAAGCAGGUUUGGAGGUAGCCCACAGUUCUCACGCACAUUUUUCCACAUUUUCAGUUUGGUGGUUGUCAUGAGGAUUGUUAAAUACUCUUAUUUUCUAAGUUGCCAUGCUACAUGUUGCCUCUUUUGUGAAAGUUCAUGAUGCCUGUUCAGCUCCAGGAAACAAAACAAUUAAUAUUGCUGCUCUUAUGAAAGGACAAGGACAAAUCAUGGCACGCGAGCUACAUCAAGAACGAGUAAAGCGUUUGGAACUGACUA